rnacentral:rRNA from 1 species
GAUGAACGCUGGCGGCGUGCCUAAUACAUGCGAGUCGAGCGAACGGACGAGAAGCUUGCUUCUCUGAUGUUAGCGGCGGACGGGUGAGUAACACGUGGAUAACCUACCUAUAAGACUGGGAUAACUUCGGGAAACCGGAGCUAAUACCGGAUGAUAUUUUGAACCGCAUGGUUCAAAAGUGAAAGACGGUCUUGCUGUCACUUAUAGAUGGAUCCGCGCUGCAUUAGCUAGUUGGUAAGGUAACGGCUUACCAAGGCAACGAUGCAUAGCCGACCUGAGAGGGUGAUCGGCCACACUGGAACUGAGACACGGUCCAGACUCCUACGGGAGGCAGCAGUAGGGAAUCUUCCGCAAUGGGCGAAAGCCUGACGGAGCAACGCCGCGUGAGUGAUGAAGGUCUUCGGAUCGUAAAACUCUGUUAUUAGGGAAGAACAUAUGUGUAAGUAACUGUGCACAUCUUGACGGUACCUAAUCGGAAAGCCACGGCUAACUACGU